rnacentral:rRNA from 1 species
GACGAACGCUGGCGGCGUGCUUAACACAUGCAAGUCGAACGGAAAGGCCCUGCUUUUGUGUGGUUCUCGAGUGGCGAACGGGUGAGUAACACGUGAGUAACCUGCCCUUGACUUUGGGAUAACUUCAGGAAACUGGUGCUAAUACCGGAUAGGAGCUCCUGCUGCAUGGUGGGGGUUGGAAAGUUUCGGCGGUGGGGGAUGGACUCGCGGCUUAUCAGCUUGUUGGUGGGGUAGUGGCUUACCAAGGCUUUGACGGAUAGCCGGCCUGAGAGGGUGACCGGCCACAUUGGGACUAAGAUACGGACCAGACUCCUACGGGAGGCAGCAGUGGGGAAUAUUGCACAAUGGGCGGAAGCCUGAUGCAGCAACGCCGCGUGCGGGAUGACGGCCUUCGGGUUGUAAACCGCUUUCGCCUGUGACGAAGCGUGAGUGACGGUAAUGGGUAAAGAAGCACCGGCUAACUACGUG